UUUAUAUGAGGCAUGAACCAUCUGGUGACUUGUGCAGUUUAUGAGGCAUGAACCUUCUGGUGACUCUUGUUGCGCAUAAUCUGGUGGUACUCUCUUUUGAUUGUCUGGUUAUGCUGGAUAUUGAGUUUGUUUCUGAGUAUAACAAAUAUUAUUUUGUAAUUGGUGCCUUUUUAUUGUCUCUGGAUGUUCUGCUUUGUGGUAACUGUCUAAAAG
rnacentral:misc_RNA from 1 species